GAAACUCUACCCUCUAAUUACAUUUAUACCACUAGUUUGUUCAUUUUGCCCCAAAAUUAAAAUGUUGGAUGAGGACGGGAAUCUCACUUUAUUUAUAUGUUGGAUUAAAGCUGACUUCACAGAUUUCAGAAAGCCAAGUGAUGUGAUGGCAUCAUGCUGCUCGUGUUAUUGUGUGACCAGUUUGAUGAAGGAAAAAGCAGGUCCUUGUAUUUGCAAAGAAUAAACCAACAACUGGCACACAUGCAAAGACCAUCCAUCUUCCACGCUGGAUAAAUCACUUGAAAUUAAAGAGUGUUUUUUUGGUUUCCUUUUUUUAAAAGAUCUUAUACUAGCUUUUCUUUUCAAGUGUGUUUAGAAGAGGAGGCCAUCAUUAGGGAAUUUUGUAUGAGUUUAUUUUAUGUUUGUUUAUCAGAUGUUUUCUGUAAGAAACUGCUAAUUAAUUGUUGAUUGAUAAAAAUUAAAUAGGCAGCUAGAAUUCCCUGAAGCAGCAAGCAGCAGCUGAAUCCAGUGCUUUGGGGAAGAAGCUUUUUUUCCAGGGACUGCAGGUCUAAAGAAUACAUUGACACAGCAGGUCAAUUGCCUCUGCUUGUGUGGAAUUUGUUUCAUUGCUCUAACACUGCCUAAACUCUGUGAAGGACACAGGUGCCUCCCUAUA